UACUUUUUUUUGAAAGUAAGU
ensembl:piRNA 21ur-7047 ncRNA